AGCCACUGUUAUGCAAAGUUCAAGGGCCUCUCUCACACUUAGCUGGGGGAGGAGUGAAUACAGCCUUUCUGAAGAAAGAAAAAUUAAGUAAUAGCAAAAUCAUUAAGUGUUUAUGAUUCAUAAAUACAGUUUUUGUCAACUAAAAAAAUAAAAUAUGUAGAAGUCAAAAAAGUGUCUAUGAUUCAGAAAUGCCACCGUUAGAAGUUGCCAUAAGAGUGCACACAAAAAGGACAUAUGGGUCAAAGUGUUUGCAGCAGUGUUGUCCCAAAUAAGGACAUUUUGCAACAUUGUGGGGUGGUUAAAAUAACUAUAGAAUAUGCAUUAGAAUACAAUGAAACCAUUAAACAUAAUGUGGAAGAAUAUUGUAUAUUAUAGGGAAAUGCUCAUAAUAUAUAGUGACAAUUUAAAAAGCAGAUUACAAAACAAUAUGCCAAGACAUGAUUUCUGCCCAAGUCUGCCCUGAUGGGUGAGCUAACCAAGGUUGCUGCACUGUGAGGGCAUAGGGGCUGCCCCUCAGCCCCCACCCCAGCCACUGGGCUCCUCAGGAAAGGACACGUGAGUGUUUACUGCACAUCCUACAGAUGAGGAGCUCACAAGGACCCUGGAUGGGGGAGUCCUCUGAGGUUGCUGGAGCUGCUGCAGCCAUCUUGUCACUGCCAGGGGAGAGCUCUCUCUGAGAGCGAAGGCACAGUGGAGGAAAGCAGAACUAAGAAGAGACAGAGAAAGCGAAAGUGGGAGAGAGAGAGAGAUAUGAGGUGACAAGUGUGGGUCCUUGGAUCCUGCUUGGUGUAAAGCUAGCCUGCUCCUGGACUUUACAGAUAAUAAAUUCCUUCCUCAUCAGAUUAACCUGGGUUUUUGUGGCUUGUAACCAAAAGGGUCUGCACGGCCCACACACAGGCUCCCAGCUCAUUUCCUUUGCAAUGAGUGGUAACUGGAGGCGGGCGGUGCAUGGACCUGCCUUGCAAGGCUUCUCUGUUAGUGGUGCCUGGAGCCCACUCUCUCAGCUGGCACAGCCAGUGUGACACAUCAGUCCGGGUGUGUCCUGGACCUACCCCCUUUCUGGGUGCAAACCAGAACUGAGGAUGCCGAGGGUGGUGGGGGGGUAGUUUCCUGCCUCAGGGCUGUGCUCCUGCUACCUCUUUGCCUAAAAUUCUCCCCUCUCUGUGCUCCCAGGGCCAGCUCCUUUGUAUGCUCUGUGAUUCUUUGAACAGCGCCCCCUCUGAGAAGCCUUCCCUGACCACCUGGCUGAGGACAUCAUUCUGUCCCAGCUUCCAUUUGCUUUGGGAGUGGCCUCCUGACACUUCACUUCCGUGAGGCAGGGACCAGUUCUGUCCUGGUCACUGCUGUAUCCCCAGCUCUAGAUAAGGCCUGAGACAUCGUAGGAGUGCCAGGGAUCUUUGGUUACUGAGAAAACGAGCAGCUAGAUCAAGGUUCCCAACACCAACACGCUGGGGACAUGUUGGGAGUCAACUUAGCCCUACCAGCAGGUGGAACUAGUUUUGCUGCUCCAAAACAGAGUUCUAGCUAUGGGGACAGCCACUAGAGAGCAGAGCUAAGUCCAUGCUAUGCUGAGGGGCCACAGUCUGCCCUGAACUGUGCCUCCCAGCCUGGAGCUAGUGAGGGGGCCGAGCCUGGGAGCUGACAGAUGAGGGCUCGGCGUGGGGACUUUUGGAGGGGAGGGCAUUUUCUUGAUCUUACCAUGGGGGCAACAGCUAGAUGGGUAGGGGGGGACCCACUCAAGGACAUACUGCGGCUUCAGGCUUCGACCAGCCCAGAACGCUCGCUCCAUCUGAGGGUCUUGAUAUCAGGGUGUGGCGUCAGGAGCCGGAGCCUACGGGUUGAAAGCCAAGAGUGGGCAAUCAAAGCUGAAACCAGGCCCACGACUUAGGAGCUGGAGAGCACACAGGGCUGAACACUCGAGUUGGUGACCAGGAAACCAGGGAGCAAAGUCUCCAGGGUGCUUGGGCAAGACCCCAGAUGGUCUGCAGCAACGCACGGGCAACACGGGAUGAUCAGCGCUACGUGGUGAGAAACUUACCUCCUUUUGCAGGACAACAUUUUCCAGUCCUUCUGAGUAAAUCAAAGAGAAGUCUCAGCUUGGUGAUUGCAGGUCUCUAAUGCUUAUUUCUCUGUCUCUGUCUCUCUCUCUUUUAACAAAAGUCUACCAGCGGCCUCAGGCUCAGGGCCUGUCUCAGGUAAAAGCGGGUUAGGGUGUAAUAACAGUGAUCGGUUUCAUUGUGUUUAUUUUUGUAGCUACUUUCUAAUUAUAGCAAGUGAUUCUGAGUUUCCAUUUAGGAUAGUAAUAGGAAGUUUCUUUUUCAAGUAAAUGUGCAUAAGUAAAAGGAGACUGCUCAAAGGAAAACAGCUGGUGAUUGAUAGAACAGGCUGUGGCAUUGUUGGGCCCCAGAGGGAAGGGCUGUGUGAGCAUGCAGGAAAUUCUGGGAAGGCAGCUAAAUGCAGUUGCUGCAUGGGGGCCAGGAAGCAUUUGGAGACGUGGCUGGGCACAGCUUGGCUUUUGAGCCCAAGAGAGGCCUGCUGGGGAUGUGUUGGGAGCCAACCUACCCCUACCAGCAGGUGGAACUGGUUUUGCCACUCCAAAACAGAGUUCCAGCUAUGGGGACAGCCACUAGAGAGCAGAGCUAAGGGCAUUCUAGGCCAAGGGGUCACAGUCCACCCUGAACUGUGCCUCCCAGCCUGAAGCCAGAAAGCUCAGGGAGGCUAGCGGCCCUGCCCAGGCCUCAGCACUGACCCUGCACCCCUAGGCCCAGCUGGAUGACCCCUAAGAGCUUCCUGGAAUUUGGAUGCAGGGUUAUUCUGUGUGUGCUGCCUCUCAGAGCAUGUCACUUUGACGUGGACAUCUCGGGUCUGGUUCUGGUGCUGUCCCUGUCUCGCCACGUGACCCUGGAUAAGUCAUCUCUCCAGGCCUUGAUUUCCCCAUCUGUAAACAGAGGUGAGUGAAAUGAUCUUUAAAGGCGUGUCAGUCCAUUUUGCAUUGCUAUAAAGGAAUACCUGAGGUUGGGUAGCUUAUAAAGAAAAGAGGGUUAUUUGGCUCACAGUUGUGCAGGUUGUACAGAAGCAUGGCACCAGCAUUGCUUCUUGUGAAGCUUCAGGAAGCUUCCACUUAUGGUGGAAGGGGAAGGGGGAGUUCGUGACUUACAUGGCAAGAGAGGGAGCAAGAGCCAUGUCAGGCUCUUCUAAACAACCAGCUCUCAUGUAAACUAACAGAGUGAGAACUCAUUCAUUACCACGGGGAGGGCACCAAGCCAUCCAUGAGGGACCUGCCCCCAUGAGCCAAACAUCUCCCACCAGGCCACACCUUCAACACUGGGAGUCACAUUCAGCAUGAGAUUUGGAGGUGACCACCAUGCAUCCAAACCAUAUCAAGGACCCAUUUCGGUGAGGGGACCAGGAACAUAUCCCUUCCCCUCUCCUCCACAUCCUUUAAUGUGGAGUUCAGCAAGGAAAGUAGGGCUUGGGUCAAAUUAAAGCCUGGUCUUAAUUUCCUGGUCCAGUUAUUAGCUGUGUAACCCUGGGCAAGUCACUUAACCCCCUCAGGUUACAAUGUUACAAAUGAUCACAUUUUCCUCAACUGAAAAAUGGGAUAGGAACAUGUCCCAAGCAGAGCUGGAGUGACGGUGCUAUCAAUGGCCCGGCAGUGCCUGGUCACACAGUAGGCCUGGGGAGCCCUGACUUUUACCGCACAGGGAGCUGCUUGCAGAGCUUGUUUUCAAUUGUGGGCUUGGCAGGGAACUGCCGGCAUCCCAGGGGACAGGGUCUCAUGAGGAUGCCUAAUCCCAGCUCAAAGUGGAGACCCCAGGACUCCAUCACAGCCAGUGGGGGGGAGUGGCUGCUGCAGCAGGGAGGGCUUCAUUGGAAUGAACCCCUUUAAGCUCCAGUCCAAAUGCCCAGAGUGGUUUUGCAGGUAUGGUUGUGAGGCUGGCAUGGUAGUCCCAUCUGCAGUCCCCUGGGAUGAGGCACCUGUAUGGUAGAGGGCCCGGGUGGAGAGAAGAGAAGGAUGGGGAUGAACCCAGGACCACAGAUGGCCCAGUUCCAUGGAUGAUUUUCAUUGAGGUGCCUUCAAGUCAGUUCAACACUGGGCUUCUCAACCUUUGAGGUAUGCAGGUAAGAGUCACCUGCGGCAGUGGGGGAUGCUCUUGUUAAAGUGCAGACUCCGAUUAAGCAGGUCUAGGGUGGGGCCUGAAAUUCUGUGUUCCUAACAAGGCUCCAUCCUGGGUAUGGAGGUCAGGUACCCCCUCACCUCUCCUGUGGACCCAGCUUUUGAGGGGUCAGGAGAAGAAUGUUCAGUCCCAGCUGCCACCACUCUAAAGUCCCCUAGAAACAAGGACUAAUACAGGUGGCGUGGGAGAGGGCCCAGGCAAACAGGGAGGUGGGGUACCCCGGUGGGGCUGCAGUGGGCCCUGCGGAAAGCUUGCUGGAGGUGGGGGCCUAAGGAAUUCAAGGACUUGUUCCAGGAACCCAAGGAACGAGUGGGCUCUAACUGCUGCAGCAUAUGGGAGAUGCCAGGAGGAGCUGGCUGUGGCAGGCCAUCCCAGUCCAUCAGACAACUUGUAGUGGAUGAAGAUGCAGUGUCCAUGGCCAGAAGAAACUCCCGUGGAUGCUCAGGCCAAGGCUGCCAGAAGCACGAGGAGGGGCAGCAUUGAGUGUCAUCGGGAAAAGGCAAAGUGAUGGUCCUGAAGCUGCCCCAUGUGGCCAGUCCCUUUUUGGGAAGCCUGAAUAAAUCCAUUUCCUGUGCACUGUGUGGGAAGCCAACCCCUCUUCAGAGCACCUCUGAACUCAACAGGAUCCUACACUUCUUAUAGGCCUGGCUUGAUGCUGACAUCCUUCAGCCCCAGGGAAGACCUAAAGAUCUCCAGGUCUUGAGGCACCUGGAACACCUCCACCUGAGACCACUUUAACAUGAUUUCUCUGCUUGAGGGAUUUUGGACCAUGCUGUGUGUAUUCAGCCCUAAAACAUGGGCGAGUGCCCGCUUGCAGUUCAAAUUCUCAGAGGAAGUUCCCUGUACUCCACCCAGUGCCAAGUUUAGUUUGUGCAAAUUUCCUUAAUGUCCCCUCCUGUACAACAGGCUUAUUUGGUGUUAACCCUCAUAUCGGGGGUCUAACUCUUUGCUUUUCCAGCUUUUGUGCUGGAAUAUCCCAUUAAACUGUCCAUGUUGGGUAUUUUUUCUUUGUUAGUAAACAUUUGUUGCAUAUUGUUGAUAGCAUUUUAGAUUUGAAGAAAUAACUGACAAAAUCAAUAUCAUCUGUUUCAUCAUUACAAAUAGACUCAUAGCUCUUUAAUUUUUCCAUUUAACACUUUAAUUUUCCAUAGGCCUAGAUUUUCAAGAAGUCCAAUAUCUCUCACUUGAAGUGUCUUUUCCCUGGAGUAGAUUGGGAGAUUUGAGGGAUAUCUGUCCAAAGAUGAGACAGUCUGUUUCUAGUUUCCCAUCCAGCCUGAUGGGGCGUCUACAGUUUUUACCACAAGGUGUCGCUGUUGAACAGAUUCUGGUGCAGUCUAGUGCAUAGCUGUCCACUUCUAGAGUGAUCACUUGCUGGGCCAAGUUCCUCUCCUUAAGUGGUGUCUCACAUUAAGGUUCCCAAAUUACAGACUCAUUAAUUCACCCUAAUAAGCUCAUCCAGGCAGUUUAGGUCUUCAGGGGCUUCCAGCCUCCAACACACAUUGGGCCAAAACCAGCCUGUACCACCAGCUCCAAGCCCUGUGUUGAAUCUAGGUCAUUGGUCCAGAUGCCCCUUCAUUCUGGGCCUGUGGUGUCCUUUCCAGACAGCAGACCUCAGUUAAGGGCAUCCCAGUCCAUCAGAGAAGUUCCAGGAUCACAGACCCUCAAAAGGGGCAGUGUUGAGGAUUCAGUCUGUUUUCUGCCCAGAGGCCCCAUUAAGUAUGUUGUAUCACCUCCUCCCCAGGCUGUUUCUACAUAACCCAGGGAAGCCAUUCAGGGAACAGCUGCCUUAUGAAUGAAAAUCCACCCCUAGACAAUGUGCUAUGCCAUCCCAGCCAGAAAAAUUGUUGGCAACUUCCCUUGCCAAAAAUGCCUGGUAUCACAGAAUCUUAUGCCAUUAUUGCUUUCUGGUCCAGGGUCCUCCCACCCUUCAAAAGGAUGGCAUACAACUCCCACCGUGUGUGUGUGUGUGUGUGUGUGUGUGUGUGUGUGUGUGUGUGUAGAGGCUGUUCUUGAGGGCAAUAGGUGAGCUUUUGUUUUGCUUUGUCAGGUCUACAUGGUAAGGGGGAAGGGCUAGAAUACUAAGAUAGUAUUAGGAUAAUGGAUGGAAAUAUUUUAAAGCAAUUCCAAGGUGGAAGGAACAGAGAGAAAAGCCUUGGAGCAGCUGGAGAGAACUGUCUUCAAGGAAAUGGACUAAGUUUUGUCUAGAAUGUGUGAGGUAAACUUCUUCUCCAGCUUCCCACAAAGACACUGGUGGGGUGGACACUGCUCUGGACGGUUUUGGCAGUUGGUUUUGUGUUUUGGAGAUGAAGUGGCCCUGGCAUCAAGAGGACGUGGGACACAAGCAGAGGCUUCCAAGGGGUCCCAGGAGCACCUCUGUCCAAUACAGAUGGAGAAAUUGAGGACCAGAGGAGGGGCUUGUCCAAAGUCACCCAGCGAGUUAGAGCCCCCAGUGGCUUUUCCCAUUAAAAAUGAACCCCAGGCCAGGGGUGGUGGCUCACACUUGUAACCCCAGUGUUUUGGGAAGCUGAGGCAGGAAGAUCAUUUAAGGUCAGAAGUUAGAGACCAGCCUGGGCAACAGAGAGACCCUGUCUCUACUAAAAAAUUAAAAAUUAGCCUGGUGUGGUGGUGUGCACCUGUAAUCCCAGCUACUUGGGAGGCUGAGGUGGGAGGAUUGCUUGUGCCCAGGAGUUUGAGGCUGCAGUGAGACAUAAUUGAGCCACUGCACUUCAGUCUGGGUGACAGAGCAAGACUGUCUCAAAUAACAAAAAAGAAAAGGAAAAAUAAAAAAAAAGAACCCCAAACAGCCCACUGUGAGCCAUGGUGACCCCAAAUCUCCAGCGUCCCUGCGGGGUCCCAGGCCGGCUCAGUGCAGGUAUUCUCGCACAGUGAGCUCCUUCAGGGUGAUGCCUCGGGGCGUGGGCCUCCGGAGCUGGCUCUCCUCCAGCCUCUCCUGCAGAGUCACGAAGUCCUUGCCCAGCGCGUAGGCCAGGCGGACCAUGGCGUCCAGCAGAGGCGCAUAGUAGCGAUGGCCCUCCCGGGCCUGCAGGCGCUGCAGGGCCCUCUCUCCGGCCGCGAAGGCCUCGGCGGGGCGGUCGAGGUCGCG
rnacentral:lncRNA from 1 species